rnacentral:rRNA from 1 species
UGGGGAAUAUUGCACAAUGGGCGCAAGCCUGAUGCAGCCAUGCCGCGUGUAUGAAGAAGGCCUUCGGGUUGUAAAGUACUUUCAGCGGGGAGGAAGGUGUUGAGGCUAAUAACCUCAGCAAUUGACGUUACCCGCAGAAGAAGCACCGGCUAACUCCGUGCCAGCAGCCGCGGUAAUACGGAGGGUGCAAGCGUUAAUCGGAAUUACUGGGCGUAAAGCGCACGCAGGCGGUCUGUCAAGUCGGAUGUGAAAUCCCCGGGCUCAACCUGGGAACUGCAUUCGAAACUGGCAGGCUAGAGUCUUGUAGAGGGGGGUAGAAUUCCAGGUGUAGCGGUGAAAUGCGU